rnacentral:rRNA from 1 species
GUGAAAGCCCACGGCUCAACCGUGGAAGCGCAUUUGAAACUGGCAGGCUUGAGUACCAGAGGGGAAAGUGGAAUUCCCGGCGUAGAGGUGAAAUUCGUAGAUAUCGGGAGGAAUACCGGUGGCGAAGGCGACUUUCUGGCUGGAUACUGACGCUGAGACGCGAAAGCGCGGGGAGCAAACAGGAUUAGAUACCCUGGUAGUCCGCGCCGUAAACGAUGUGAACUGGAUGCAGGGGGUGUUGAUCCCCUCUGUGUCGCAGCCAACGCGCUAAGUUCACCGCCUGGGGAGUACGGCCGCAAGGUUAAAACUCAAAGGAAUUGACGGGGGCCCGCACAAGCGGUGGAGUAUGUGGGUUUAAUUCGAUGCAACGCGAAGAACCUUACCUGGUCUUGACAUCCCGGGGAAUUCCCUUGAAA